rnacentral:rRNA from 1 species
AACGAACGCUGGCGGCAGGCCUAACACAUGCAAGUCGAAGCGAUCCCAGCAAUGGGGGAGCGGCAGACGGGUGAGUAACACGUGGGAACGUACCCUUCGGUUCGGAAUAACUCAGGGAACUUGAGCUAAUACCGGAUACGUCCGAGAGGAGAAAGAUUUAUCGCCGAAGGAUCGGCCCGCGUCUGAUUAGCUAGUUGGUGAGGUAAUGGCUCACCAAGGCG